AGUAGUACAGAGACUAUUUAUAAUUGGAAAAAUCCUCAUGUUUUACUGUGCGCUACUGUUUGGCUGACUACCAAACCCUCAACAAACUACUUUAUUUACAAUCAUGCCAUUGCAACUUAUUCCAUAAAAGAAGUAGAAGAAAUUCUGGUGAGAGACGAAGAUGUGUGUGACUGUGAGCUCGAUGCCAUGUCCGACGGAAUAUAUCCGACGAACUUCGAUCCUAAAUCGGUUCUUGAAGAAUCUUAAUAUCCCCAAUUGUCUUCAAUCUCAAUGACAUCCUCGUCUCUGUUCAGAUUUAUUCAACGAGCUUGAUCGAUAAAUUCUCAAACUUUGUUUUCUUCAAGAUCUAUGGCGGAAGAACAUCGAUGUCAGACAUCGGAAAGCAACCGUCUCUGUGUUAACAACAGUGGCUUCCUCGGCAGCUCCGCCACCAUGAAUCUCUGUUCUAAUUGCUACGGCGAUCUCUGUCUCAAACAACAACAACAAUCCUCCAUCAAAUCCACCGUCGAAUCUUCCCUCUCCGUAUCUCCUCCUUCAUCAUCAUCAGAGAUUGCUUCCAUAUCUUCUCCGAUCAUCCCUCCUCUCCUUAAAACUCCCUCCGUCAAGCUAUUUCGAUCGAGGUAAAAGCUAACAGUUUCUAUUUGGAUUUCUUUCUAGUUAUUCUGUUUCUGAUCUCGAUUUGUUGUGAUUAAAGAAUUUUGUUGGGUUAUUCAUUGAAAUUGCUACUGUGUUCGUGUGAGAGAGGCAAAGUAAUUAGAAACUGUUAGACGAAAAUAUGUAGUUUUUGUUGGAAACGGAUCUUUGAUUAAUCAAAUGUAAGAAGAAGUUGAAAGAAGUGUAGAACAAGAAUCGUAAGAAGAGAAGAAGAAGAAGAGGAGAAGGAAAAGAAGUCUGUGUCGUGAAGAGAAAAGAGAAGGAAGAAGAAAGAAGAAAAGGGCCAGAUGGGCCAGAAAUUAAUAGAGGCCCAAAUGUGUAUUUAUUUUUUUUUGGACAAAGAAGCCCAAAUGUGUUAUUGCACACUUUAAUAUAUCAAAGCUCCUAGUAGCACUAAGAGCAACAUUAUUGGUAGUCUUUUAA